AUCUAAGUCUCUGGCUAGGCUGCUCUUGUAAAUGCAUUGUAAUUAGUUCCUUUGUUUGUGUCCCUCCGCACGUAUACCAUUUUGGUGGAGGUUUGCGAUCCCCGUCCUCACCAUGAAGCUUCGCAGUGGUCGCUACAUCGAGCUUGCUACCAUGCCUUCCGAAGAUGAAAGCCCAUCAGCGUCGGUUACGACUCGUCAGACUGCUCCAGUGGUGACGUGUUCCCAGACUCGCGACCCUGGUCUGUUUUCCGGCUAGGAUGGCACGGACGUAGAAGAAAGGAUCAACCUUUAUGAACGCGUCACCACUAAUAACAGUGCAAAAGAUAGAUGAAAAACGGAAGCAGCCAGAAUGACUUUACCAGGCAGUACCUCGGUCGUCAGAGGCACUCCUUCACACAGCGUCCUACGUGGUCGGCACGUGUCAAGGAAGAAAACAAUAAAAAGGUUCCGAGCGAGAUAAGAAUACUGAAGCCCACGCCACCCCGAGUUCUCGCUCUACAUUCUCGCCUGACGUGACUCAUCGAAGUUGAUGAGCUUCCCGCCUUGCAUUCCAGGACGCUAACCGCGAACGAAAGACGCAUAGUUGCAGCGGAACUAGAGACAGAAAGGAAUAGAGAUGGUCGAAGAGACACUGAAGGAAAGAACCAAAGAUCGAGCGGAGCGGUAAGCUUUUAGUCGAAGAACAACGCCUCACGAAGUAACUCGACGUAAGCCCGCACUACUAAUGGCAAGGACGCGGGAAACACCGUUUGCGCGAACACAGACAAUAUAGAUCGCCCAGUCGCGCACAGGGCGUGGUUGGGCACAGCACUAUGUGGCUGACCGGGACGAGAGCAAGGUGGGGUGGCGGUGGUGAGGCGAGAGCAACGGACUGAACAAUAAAAAAAAAAGGCAAAAGUGCCCCGGCGCCGCCGCCCUUCUCUCGCAAGUCGCGUUCCGUUCUCACUUUCCGCCGGCCCCGCCACUGCUGCUGUUGUUUCCGUCCUAGUGUUCGGCAUGCAGACGGUCAGCUGUCCUUUGAAUAACAAAUUCCAUGCAGUAUACUGUGACGGCUGCCCGCAGCCGCUCCUCGGUCACGCAAGCGAAACGCGCUUAAUCACUGCGCGGCAAAGCACACUCGUUCCCGUCCGUCCUCCGCGGGCCCUUCUCGCGGCUCGGACGCACCAGUCGACAGCACAUAUCGCCAAGAGACUGAGAACUGCAAAUCUGUUAGCGUUCGUGAAUAAUUUCGUUAGGCGCUUAUCUCAUCUCGCGCGACCACGCGUCGGGAAAAAAGUGCGUACGAGGGGGGCAACGCACAGCACGCCCCGUGACACAGUUAGGAUGCCGGCGAGCACGGAGUUACAGUUUGAGAUUCUGCACGAAGGCUUGGGGAGGCUUCCUCGAAGAGACGUUUGCUCUGGAAAUCAGGUCGUUCGUAUUUUUUCUUGUAGUGCCUCGAUUGAUGCUUUGCGCACAAAAGAGGUGCUUUCCUUGAUUAAACAGCCCGACACAGGUGAAACACAAGACAAGAAGAUCUGACCAGAGCUUGCCCGAUCUGCAAUGAUUGUUGCAUCUGUCUGAGGCGGCGGCACUCGCCC